UUAUGGGGAGGCUGCCCCAUCUGCUCUUCUGUGUGGAGUGUCUCUGCUCUCUGCAGUGUCCUCAGGACUCCAACUCCGUCCCCUCAGUCAGCUGUCCCGAGUGUAGGGUGAGUACUCUUCACAACUCCUGUCCAUGCAGCCAUCACUCCCUUACUGCGCUACAGCAUGUCAACCAGCUUUCACAACUCUUUUUAGGGAAAGUAGCUAAAGCAUGCUCAAUUUGUCACCAGAUGACACCAUAGACUAAUUUUUUCCAAUUACUUAUGAUAUGGCAAUGAAUAUUACUAACUAGUUUUAAAAAAGAAAGCGAGGCAGAUAGGGUGCCGAUACUUGUAGAGUUGCAUAGAUAUAUCAUGAACAUGCACAUUUUUUAACGCGUUUACAAAUGAAGAAGGCAGGCAAAAAGAAGUCGUGAAAGGUGAGUAGUCUGAAGGAAAUGGUUACUCGUUUGUCAGCAUCAACAAGAAAAGUGUUUAAAAUGAAGAACUAUGGGACAGUAAAGUUUUUUUUAAACAUAACUUUCUCAGAUUUACUAAGUAGAUAGCUUUAGUUGGUCAUUACUACACACCAUAACGUUAGAUAAGUGUGUCUGAGUUUAGUAUUUAUGCAGACCUUUUAUAUAUAUAUUUUUUUAUGUCUCCACCACUAAGUCUGUCCAUCCAUCUAAGGUUCUCAUUAAUGCAAUAUCUCAAGAACCAGUGGUUGAAUGUUUGUAGGAAUUCUAUAGACUAUAUAGUUGUUGUAACCAGCAGAUGACUUGAUUAGUAUUUGGAAUUGAUAAACAAAUAUCAACAAUCAAAAAUAAACGAGGUCACAGCAGUUUCAUGUUUAGGAACUCAAGGCCCUUUAUUGUUUUUUUUUGGCUAGCUACGGUUUUGCCAUCAUUCCAUGCUUCUGUGUGUCCUUGCUUUUGCAUGAGAUUCUUGUUUAGUGUGACAUCUCAAGAACGAAAGGUUGAAUGUUUUAUAGUGUAGCAGCAGCGGCAGGUGGAACACAGACAGAGUGAGACUGGUUAAGAGAGCUUUUAUUUUGUAGCAUGGGAGUGCAGAAGGAUCAUGGGACACUCUGUCCUGGGGAAGCAGUCUGUGAGGGAGGUGUUAGAGAGGAGUGUGGUCGCUAUGGGCCAGGCAGAGCGGUGUAGGCUGGUAGCAGAGUGCGGAGGGAGCGUAGGUAGUGGGGGUGAGGGCUCUUGGGGGGAGAGACUUGCUGUCGUCAUCGUCAUCUGCAAGACAUAGAACAGAAUUGAUCAGCAUAGACACGUAGACAAAAGCUGCUCAAGCUUCUGAGGUUGUGAUGCCUUUUUAUCCUCUCCAGUCUUCUCUGAGAGGGUGAGGAGUUGCAGUGUUUAUCUGCUGCAAGUUGUGCUCUAUUUCCCCACCUCAUGCUCUGCUGCAGUCGACAACAGUGGUGCUGAAAUGACUGUCUGUUCAGCACCUGGGUGGCAGUAGUGUGAGGAGCGUUUUUCACCUCUUCAACAGGUUCACAUGGUACCUGUACGUUUCUGCUCGCUUACCGGCUGCUGCAGGCGUUAUCGUCAGCUGCUGGAGGCUGGCCUCCAUUAGUUGCUGCAGCAUGGAAUCCAUGUUUUUAUUUUUACAUUUUUUAUUAUUAUAUAUUUUUUCCUUUAUUUUUUAUUUGGCCGGGUCUGUGCUCAUUCCCGCAUCCUUCACCAGACUUACAAAUGAGAAAAUACAAAAUACAAGCAAAGCAGUAUAUCAAGCAGAGAACACUGCAAGUAGUGCUACAAUAGAAGAUUUUUAAUUGAGUUCUAGAAGAUGCAAAAAUGUAAUCAGCCCUGAGAUUCUAACCAGCGACCUUGGCAUUCUUAACACCACGCACUAUUUAACUGAGCUACAUUGCCACAUAUAUAAUAUAUCAUAAUAGUUUCGAAGAGAAUUUUUAAGCGAAUAUUUGUAAGUGUCCAAAAUUAUAUGGACGGCGCUCCGUGCAGCGGGGAAAGCACUCAGACAUAGCCCGGGGAGGGAGCGUCAUGUCGCACAGACUCUGGCCAGCUCCAGGCCGAUCAUCGCUGAUUUUUUCCCGGGUGUUGAAGAGUUACCAUUGAUGAAAUUCUUACUUUACAUUUAUUUGGUAAAAAGCUUAGACUUUUCCGGAGCAUUCUGCCGUUAGGGGCGAUGAAGAGUUCCUGGAUAGCAAGCACAUUAGGCCGAUUCUGGUAGAAAUGCGCCACUGUCGGCUCAAUGCCGGUAUCGGUGAAAAGGUAAUUGCCCAGAGCCCUGCUGACCGUUCACACCACUUCUCGCUGACAGACGGUUUUUGCUAUGUGGGCCAAUCUCGGCUGAAAGCAGGUGUACUUGCGGCAGGUCCAUACUCGGUGUAGCGGUGUGUAUCUGCUUUUUCAAGUUCGUUAAGUCACAGACGGGCCACAGCUAAAAUUAAGGAGCUCAGCCGCCUGGAAAAAACUUUUGACGGUUAAAUCAGUUAGGAUACUCGAGGCUGCAGUCAUUCUUCGUUUUCAAGAGGAAUCAUUUCAGCUGAAGAAGGUAAGUAAUUUAAUUGAGUAAUUUCAGUCUACAAUAUUGUUUGAUAUUUAAAAUGUCAGGGAGAAAAUGUUUUUUAAAAAUCUUUUCAACGGUAUGUGUGAUUGUGACAAGAACAUCAGACGGUAUCCUAGCAGCUAGCUAGCCGGCUAGCUAAUUUAGGUUAAGUUAAGAGGCAGCUUGACACUUUUUUUUUAUAAAGCUUUUUUAAUUGCUCUACAAAUAAGAUAAACUCCUAGUUUAUUCCUUCCGUUCCUGUUUUACUACUUUUUAUUUAACUUUUUUAAUAUAUUGUGUCAGAAAACCCACACAGUUUGCAGCAUGCUGUGUCCCGUUAUUAGAUUAUAUUGUCCACUUGGCAGUAUAACAGACCUGUUGUUCGGCUCAACACUGUAUUUCUUAUGUGCAAUUCUUAGCCAUAGUCUAGCAAUAUACUAAUUUUUUGUCUCAUUGAGUGAUCCUGAAGGGAUUGAAUAAAGUUUAAAUGCAACUGUAUUUUACAGACAGCGAUAAAGAGGGCAGGACCUGGUCAGACCUCCAGUCAGACGUGGAAGUGUCUGGGUAAAGACCACCAAGAGAUGCUGCAGAACUGGCAGCCGAUGGACGAUAUGCCGUGUGAGCGUAUUCUUCUGCUUUCUGAUUAACUUUCUUUGCCAUGCUGAGGGAGGUGUUGACUAAAUUAGAGAUGGUGCUGGACCAACAAACCACUGAGAUUGCUUCAACUACAGGAGGUCCAGCUGCAGCCUUUGGAUGUUGAUGAAGAUUUACUGCCCUGCAAGACCUUCCUCAACUGCGUAGUUUGGAGCGAAGGAUGCAA